rnacentral:rRNA from 1 species
UGAACGCUGGCGGCGUGCCUACCACAUGCAAGUCGAACGGAGUCCAGCCUUUAAGACCUUCGGGUCAAAGAGGGGAAGACUGAGUGGCGGACGGGUGAGUAACACGUGGGCAACCUGGCUCAUAGAGGGGGAUAACAGAGAGAAAUUUCUGCUAAUACCGCAUAAGCACACACUGCCGCAUGGCAGAGGGUGAAAAGAGAAUCGCUAUGAGAUGGACCCGCGUCUGAUUAGCCAGUUGGCAGGGUAAGAGCCUACCAAAGCGACGAUCAGUAGCCGAUCUGAGAGGAUGAACGGCCACAUUGGGACUGAGACACGGCCCAAACUCCUACGGGAGGCAGCAGUGGGGGAUAUUGCACAAUGGGGGGAACCCUGAUGCAGCGACGCCGCGUGAGUGAAGAAGUAUUUCGGUAUGUAAAGCUCUAUCAGCAGGGAAGAUAAUGACAGUACCUGAAUAAGAAGCCCCGGCUAACUACGUG